UUAAGCGACUAAGCGUACACGGUGGAUGCCCUGGCAGUCAGAGGCGAUGAAGGGCGUGCUAAUCUGCGAUAAGCGCCGGUAAGGUGAUAUGAACCGUUAUAACCGGCGAUACCCGAAUGGGGAAACCCAGUGUGAUUCGUCACACUAUCAUUAACUGAAUCCAUAGGUUAAUGAGGCGAACCGGGGGAACUGAAACAUCUAAGUACCCCGAGGAAAAGAAAUCAACCGAGAUUCCCCCAGUAGCGGCGAGCGAACGGGGAGGAGCCCAGAGCCUGAAUCAGCAUGUGUGUUAGUGGAAGCGUCUGGAAAGGCGCGCGAUACAGGGUGACAGCCCCGUACACAAAAGCGCAUGUGCUGUGAGCUCGAUGAGUAGGGCGGGACACGUGGUAUCCUGUCUGAAUAUGGGGGGACCAUCCUCCAAGGCUAAAUACUCCUGACUGACCGAUAGUGAACCAGUACCGUGAGGGAAAGGCGAAAAGAACCCCGGCGAGGGGAGUGAAAAAGAACCUGAAACCGUGUACGUACAAGCAGUGGGAGCCCCACCACUAAGCCAGUGGUGAACUCCACAUACGCAUCCUUUGCUGAGGAUACGGUUAACGGAGCGAAAGCGACGUUCAACCGCAAAAGAAGCAGAGGGGGCUUAGUGGUGGGGUGACUGCGUACCUUUUGUAUAAUGGGUCAGCGACUUAUAUUCUGUAGCAAGGUUAACCGAAUAGGGGAGCCGGAGGGAAACCGAGUCUUAAUUGGGCGUUAAGUUGCAGGGUAUAGACCCGAAACCCGGUGAUCUAGCCAUGGGCAGGUUGAAGGUUGGGUAACACUAACUGGAGGACCGAACCGACUAAUGUUGAAAAAUUAGCGGAUGACCUGUGGCUGGGGUGAAAGGCCAAUCAAACCGGGAGAUAGCUGGUUCUCCCCGAAAGCUAUUUAGGUAGCGCCUCGUGAAUUCAUCUCCGGGGGUAGAGCACUGUUUCGGCUAGGGGGCCAUCCCGGCUUACCAACCCGAUGCAAACUGCGAAUACCGGAGAAUGUUAUCACGGGAGACACACGGCGGGUGCUAACGUCCGUCGUGAAGAGGGAAACAACCCAGACCGCCAGCUAAGGUCCCAAAGUCAUGGUUAAGUGGGAAACGAUGUGGGAAGGCCCAGACAGCCAGGAUGUUGGCUUAGAAGCAGCCAUCAUUUAAAGAAAGCGUAAUAGCUCACUGGUCGAGUCGGCCUGCGCGGAAGAUGUAACGGGGCUAAACCAUGCACCGAAGCUGCGGCAGCGAACGUAUCACUUAAAGCGAUUCAGCGGGUUACGAUUGACGGAGCGAAGCGACGUCAAAGCGUAUACAAAGUCGAGUCGGUUUAAGGAUACGUUCGUUGGGUAGGGGAGCGUUCUGUAAGCCUGUGAAGGUGGCCUGUGAGGGUUGCUGGAGGUAUCAGAAGUGCGAAUGCUGACAUAAGUAACGAUAAAGCGGGUGAAAAGCCCGCUCGCCGGAAGACCAAGGGUUCCUGUCCAACGUUAAUCGGGGCAGGGUGAGUCGACCCCUAAGGCGAGGCCGAAAGGCGUAGUCGAUGGGAAACGGGUUAAUAUUCCCGUACUUGGUGUUACUGCGAAGGGGGGACGGAGAAGGCUAUGUUGGCCGGGCGACGGUUGUCCCGGUUUAAGCGUGUAGGUGUGUGUUCCAGGUAAAUCCGGUUCACUUUAACACUGAGGCGUGAUGACGAGGCACUACGGUGCUGAAGCAACAAAUGCCCUGCUUCCAGGAAAAGCCUCUAAGCAUCAGGUAACAUCAAAUCGUACCCCAAACCGACACAGGUGGUCAGGUAGAGAAUACCAAGGCGCUUGAGAGAACUCGGGUGAAGGAACUAGGCAAAAUGGUGCCGUAACUUCGGGAGAAGGCACGCUGACAUGUAGGUGAAGUGAUUUACUCAUGGAGCUGAAGUCAGUCGAAGAUACCAGCUGGCUGCAACUGUUUAUUAAAAACACAGCACUGUGCAAACACGAAAGUGGACGUAUACGGUGUGACGCCUGCCCGGUGCCGGAAGGUUAAUUGAUGGGGUCAGCGCAAGCGAAGCUCCUGAUCGAAGCCCCGGUAAACGGCGGCCGUAACUAUAACGGUCCUAAGGUAGCGAAAUUCCUUGUCGGGUAAGUUCCGACCUGCACGAAUGGCGUAAUGAUGGCCAGGCUGUCUCCACCCGAGACUCAGUGAAAUUGAACUCGCUGUGAAGAUGCAGUGUACCCGCGGCAAGACGGAAAGACCCCGUGAACCUUUACUAUAGCUUGACACUGAACAUUGAGCCUUGAUGUGUAGGAUAGGUGGGAGGCUUUGAAGUGUGGACGCCAGUCUGCAUGGAGCCGACCUUGAAAUACCACCCUUUAAUGUUUGAUGUUCUAACGUGGACCCGUAAUCCGGGUUGCGGACAGUGUCUGGUGGGUAGUUUGACUGGGGCGGUCUCCUCCUAAAGAGUAACGGAGGAGCACGAAGGUUGGCUAAUCCUGGUCGGACAUCAGGAGGUUAGUGCAAUGGCAUAAGCCAGCUUGACUGCGAGCGUGACGGCGCGAGCAGGUGCGAAAGCAGGUCAUAGUGAUCCGGUGGUUCUGAAUGGAAGGGCCAUCGCUCAACGGAUAAAAGGUACUCCGGGGAUAACAGGCUGAUACCGCCCAAGAGUUCAUAUCGACGGCGGUGUUUGGCACCUCGAUGUCGGCUCAUCACAUCCUGGGGCUGAAGUAGGUCCCAAGGGUAUGGCUGUUCGCCAUUUAAAGUGGUACGCGAGCUGGGUUUAGAACGUCGUGAGACAGUUCGGUCCCUAUCUGCCGUGGGCGCUGGAGAACUGAGGGGGGCUGCUCCUAGUACGAGAGGACCGGAGUGGACGCAUCACUGGUGUUCGGGUUGUCAUGCCAAUGGCACUGCCCGGUAGCUAAAUGCGGAAGAGAUAAGUGCUGAAAGCAUCUAAGCACGAAACUUGCCCCGAGAUGAGUUCUCCCUGAGACUUUAGGUCUCCUGAAGGAACGUUGAAGACGACGACGUUGAUAGGCCGGGUGUGUAAGCGCAGCGAUGCGUUGAGCUAACCGGUACUAAUGAACCGUGAGGCUUAACCUU
rnacentral:rRNA from 1 species